rnacentral:antisense_RNA from 1 species
AGGACUGAGACUGAGGAGAUCUUGGCCCACAGGGGCUCCCCUGGGGGCACUGCCCAGGAGACAGGGGAGGAGACUAGACCAGGGCCUCCAAACCUGCCACUCGCCAGAAAGGACUUUCCAAAUGGAAAAAGCCAUGGGGACUGUUGCUGUCAAUGUUGGAAGUUCUCCCUGCUGUCUGCCCUCAAGGCUUCCCACUGUACUGCCCUGGCCCUGGGCUCACCUGAGAUUGCUGGGGAAAAGAAAGGGUCAACCAGGAGGUUUAGACACGUGGAGAAGGAGUGUGCCUGGCUCUACCAGUUGGAACUGGGAUCAGAAGUGGAGCUCAGGAGGCUGGUCCAGGGAGAAUGCAACGCUAAGAGAAUGCUGCUGACAAGCCCAGCCUCAGGCUGGAGUCAGACUGCCCUGAUAUUACAUUACUGAGGCAGUAUAACUUUGUGAAAAGAACACUAGGCUGAGGCUGACAACACCAAAUGCUGGCAGGAAUGUGGAGCAACAGGAACAGGAAUUCGUGGCUGAUGGGAAUGCAAAAUGGUACAGCUACUUUGGAAGAAAGUGUGGCAGUUUCUUAAAAAACUAAACAUACUCUUACCAUACAAUCCAGGAAUCAUGCUCCUUGGUAUCUACCCAAAGGAGAUGAAAACUUACGUCCACAUGAAAAUCUGC